UUAAUUUAACACAUGGCAAGAGUAAAAUUUCUUUGUUCUUACUGUGCUAUAAUCUGGAUAAUGCACAGCAAAGGUGUGCAUUAACUACCUCAGAUAUACUGCACAGUUCAAAUCUAUUUUUACCUUUAGGGGCGGUUCCUGGAUUUUGAAAGGGGCGUUAUUCUAUCAAAUAAAAAAAAAUAUCACCGAGUGUAGCGAGACUAAAGACAAUAUUGACGAUUUUAAGCUAAAACACGAUACUUUGUC
rnacentral:lncRNA from 1 species